CUACGGGGAUGAUACUAGGAAUUGAACUCUCUCUUUCUGAUGGGUUGGUGGAGAAAAUGUAAAGAUUCUGAGUAGC
rnacentral:snoRNA from 12 species